rnacentral:rRNA from 1 species
UACGGAGGGUGCGAGCGUUGUUCGGAAUCACUGGGCGUAAAGCGCGUGUAGGCGGCUUCUUAAGUCCGAUGUGAAAGCCCGGGGCUCACCCCCGGAAGUGCAUUGGAUACUGGGAAGCUGGAGUACCGGAGAGGAGGGUGGAAUUCCUGGUGUAGCGGUGAAAUGCGUAGAUAUCAGGAGGAACACCUGUGGCGAAGGCGGCCCUCUGGACGGAUACUGACGCUGAGGAGCGAAAGCGUGGGGAGCAAACAGG